rnacentral:rRNA from 1 species
GGUGAGUCGGGUCCUAAGGCGAGGCCGACAGGCGUAGUCGAAUGGAUGAACGGGUGGAUAUUCCCGUACCGGCGGCGUACCGUAAGAGCCGAACGGAUGAGUACUAACCUCCGGUCGCGUGGCGUCGUUCCCUUCGGGGUUCGGUGUCCGCGGUCGUUGGGAGCGUAGUCCUGGUAGGCUAGCGCACAGGGGUGACACGGAAUGGGAGCCGGCCGCGGAGGUGGUUUUCCGUGGUCAAGCACGCAGCCCGUCCCAUAGGCAAAUCCGUGGGACGCAUAGGGUGAGGUGUGAUGAUGGGCGUCUUUAUGGCGCGAUAUCCGGUGGUCCAGGCCGUCGAGAAAAGCCUCGGCGCGAGGGGCGUCGCCGCCCGUACCCCAAACCGACACUGGUGGUCAGGUAGAGAAUACCAAGGCGAUCGAGCGAAUCCUGGUCAAGGAACUCGGCAAAUCACUCCCGUGCCUUCGGUAUAAGGGAGACCCCCGGGCGUGAAGAGGCUUGCCCUCGGAGCGUUGGGGGGUGGCACAGACCAGGGGGUAGCGACUGUUUACCAAAAACACAGGUGCAUGCGAAGGCGCAAGCCGCUGUAUAUGCACUGACGCCUGCCCGGUGCCGGAAGGUUAAGAGGAUCCGUCAGCCCCUUUUGGGGUGAAGCGGUGAAUUCAAGCCCCGGUAAACGGCGGUGGUAACUAUAACCAUCCUAAGGUAGCGAAAUUCCUUGUCGGGUAAGUUCCGACCUGCACGAAUGGCGUAACGACUUCCCCACUGUCUCGACCAGGAGCUCGGCGAAAUUGCAGUACGAGUAAAGAUGCUCGUUAAGCGCAGAAGGACGAAAAGACCCCGGGACCUUUACUAUACCUUGGUAUUGGCGUUAGGCGCGGAUUGUGUAGCAUAGGCGGGAGGCUUCGAAGCGCGGGCGCCAGCCCGUGUGGAGCCGCAAGGUGAAAUACCGCUCUGUUCUCGUUUGACGUCUAACCUCGAACAGUCAUCCUGUUCAGGGACAGUGCCUGGCGGGUAGUUUAACUGGGGCGGUUGCCUCCCAAAGAGUAACGGAGGCGCUCAAAGGUCCGCUCAGCCCGGUUGGCAAUCGGGUUUCGAGUGUAAUCGCACAAGCGGGCUUGACUGCGAGAACGACGGUUCGGGCAGGGACGAAAGUCGGAGAUAGUGAUCCGGUGCCGGCGCACGGGCGCGGCAUCGCUCAACGGAUAAAAGGUACCCCGGGGAUAACAGGCUGAUCAUUCCCAAGAGUCCAUAUCGACGGGAUGGUUUGGCACCUCGAUGUCGGCUCGUCGCAUCCUGGGGCUGGAGCAGGUCCCAAGGGUUCGGCUGUUCGCCGAUUAAAGCGGCACGCGAGCUGGGUUCAGAACGUCGUGAGACAGUUUGGUCUCUAUCCUCUGCGCUCGUUGGAAUCCUGAGGAGGCCUGCCCAUAGUACGAGAGGACCUGGGUGGACGGACCUCUGGUAUGCCGGUUGUCGCGCCAGCGGCAUGGCCGGUUGGCUACGUUCGGGAGGGAUAACCGCUGAAAGCAUCUAAGCGGGAAGCCUGCUCCAAGAUUAGGAUUCCUUGGCACUUCGGUGCCUGUAGCCCGCAUGUGGAACACGUGUUCGAUAGGCCGGAGGUGGAAGCCCCGCGAGGGGUGGAGCCGACCGGUACUAACGGGCGAACGCGGCACACU